UGUUUCCUUCUCUCCUUUUUUCCUUUCCCCCUUCCCACAUGUUCAUCUAUUUUCUUUCUUCAAUUCCACAUAUGAGUGGGAUCAUAUGGUAUUUGUCUUUCUCUGACAGGCCUUUGGCUGUCUGCACCCAUUAAAUCACAGCUUCCCCCUUUUCCCCUUCCCUGAAUCUCCUGGUUACUACCAAUCUAGUUUCUAGUUCUGGAAGCAUGGCUACUUUGGAGAGCUCCCAGCCGUGGAUCUCUACAGUAUUCGUCUUUUUGUGAGGCCUUCUUUCACGGAGCAUCGUGUCCUCAAGGUUCAUGCAUAUUGUAGCAGGUGUCAGGAUUUCCUUCCUUGGUAAGACUGAAUGAUACUUCACUGAUGGAUAGACCACAUUUGGUUUAUCCACUUAUCCAUUGGUGGACAUUUGAGUUGCUUCUACCAUUUAGCCAUUUGUCUAUUGUUUGGAGUGCUGCGGUGACAUGGGUGUGCAAAUAUCUCUUCCAGAACUUGCUUUCUAAUUCUUUUCAAUAUAUACCAGAGGUGGGAUUGCUAGAUCAUACUGUACCUGCCUUUUUAGUUUUUGAGAUGCUUUGAUACUGUUUUCCAUAGUGGUACACCAUAUUACAAUCACACCAGCGGUGCACAGAAGUUCCACUUUCUCCACAUCUUUGCCAACAUUGGGUGUUUUCUGUUUCUGGUUGUCUUUUUUUUUUCCCCAGUAGCCAUCAGAAUGAAUGUGAGAUGAUAUCUCUGUGGUUUUGGUUUAGUUUUCUCUGCUUAUUAGUCAUAUGAGCAUAUUUUCAUAUGCUUGUUGGUCAUUUGCAUAACAUGUUUGGAGAAGUCAACUCAAGUCCUUUGUCCAUUUUUAAAUCAGGCCAUUUGUUUUGCUUCAUCCAGUCCACCUUCUGGGGGAGGGGUCUGUUGUGCCACUUCUCAGGUGUCUUUGCCUCAGCGGAGUUGCCCCACCCCUUGUCAGGGGUAUGGGCUCAAAGUAAGCUGGUUAUCUGUGUGGCUUUAGUUCCCUGGAAGCUUUCCACCAUUCUGAGGGUCAGAGCGAAAACAGCUGUGCCUGGAUCUCUGGCCCAGAGCCGCAAGAUCCUGGUCCCCGCUCUUCAAUAAACCCUCCAGGUGAAAGGGUCUCCACUUCUGUGUGCACCAAAGUUUGCAGACUCCCGUGGUUUGUGUCUACUGCAAUCUUUCCCUGGGGGAGUGCCAGGGACCCGUGACCAUCACUGGAUUUUGUGUCUUUGGGACUGUGAGCGGUUGUGGGCUCCUGUGCACACCCUGCUCCGAAGACUUUUUGCCCCUCCCAGAGGAUGGUAAAAAGCCUGCAAGUUCCAGUCCUUUACAGGGUGGUCAUGCAUACAGUGGUCUCCAUACUAACCCAUUUUGUGGUUUAUGGUGACCAGAGCUGAGAGUCCCUUCUGGGCUCACUGACCACAACCAGUUUCUUUGCUCCACUUCUUGGGCACUGUAUUGGUUCAGGCACCCCUGUUCUUUCUGUAUCUCCUGGGAUCCUGAGACCACAAUAACCCACCUAGAAUUCUGCCCUUUUCAUCCCCUGAGCCCCUUUCAGAAAGGGAUAUUUCUCACCGGAGCAGAUUUCUAAGGGUUUCCAUUUGCGCUCUGUUGUUAUAUCACUUUUUAGUAGCCAGCUUAUGGAGACUCCCUCCCCCUUCUGUUUAUCUUCCAAUAUCUCCCCACAGAGUCAUGCCUCUGCACAUCCUACCUUGCAAAAAACCCCCAGUCGCUUUUCUGCUUGUAGAGAUCCAGAUAUAUUUUCUUACAUCUCAGGCUGAAUUUGUGGGUGUUCAGAAUGAUUUGAUAGAUAUCAAGCUAAAUUCAAGUGACCAGAUGAAACGAGGUCCCCUACUCUUCCACCAUCUUGCCUCUCUCUCUACUGUUAUGUUUAGAGUCCCUUGUACCCUGUGAGGUCACAGCCAUUGAAUUUGGGGGUUAGGAUGUGCACAUUUUGGGAGACCAUUAUUCUGCUACCACAUGUCUAAUUGUAUUAUUUUUACCUUCUCUCACAGCUGUGCCCUGAGAGACAUGCACAAAGAGGAGAGGUCGUCUAUUUGGGCCACCAGGUUCUGAGAAUCCAAAUAAGAGACCACAUGACCUGUGUUGUUGAGUCCAUCAGGCUACAGAUGGUCCUGUCUAUGCAGCCACAAAUGGAGACAGCCCCUACUGACUUCUACCGGGGACCUUUGGACAGACUUCUGGGGAUGAAACCCUGACUACCAUUCUUCAACAAGGCCCCUGACCAGCAGGAAGCAGUUAGACCAGUCAUGGCCCCCUUUCCCUACCGGCAGUUAGGGUCACUUCUUCAGAGGGGGGAAAGUUAGGAGUUAGUUGGACAGUUUGGUAGUCAGGGUCAGCGUCCCCAACAAGAAAAUAUGGAGUCAGGACAGUUGAAAUAAAAUAGCACUGACAUCCUGUUCUGCAGCUUAGACAGGACAACCCUGACAUCCUGGGCUCUGCAGCCUUUGCAGGAAUGACUUCUGCAAAACGUCCUAAAAUAAGACAAUUAACCACAAAAGCAUUUGUCAAUAUCACGGACAAGGGGCAUUUAAUAUCUAAGCCCACAGAUGUGAGAAAAAAACCCAUCAGCAUGUGGACAUGGACCUAAUAGGGAGACAGAUAUGUGACCAAAGCCCUGAUUGGCACAACUCAGCACACCCUGCUUGCUUAAGAAAGUUCCACAAAAGAGCUUAUAAAAACCCCUAAACAUAGAAACCCCGGGUGCAAGCCACUCGGGUCCCCUCCCUCUCUGGGAGCUUUGUACUCUUGCUCAAUAAACUCUGCUUCGAUGCCCACCA